rnacentral:rRNA from 1 species
UGGGGAAUCUUGCGCAAUGGGCGAAAGCCUGACGCAGCAACGCCGCGUGGGGGAUGAAGGCUCUCGGGUUGUAAACCCCUUUCAGCAGGGACGCGGUACCUGCAGAAGAAGCCCCGGCUAACUACGUGCCAGCAGCCGCGGUAACACGUAGGGGGCGAGCGUUGUCCGGAAUUAUUGGGCGUAAAGAGCUCGUAGGCGGUUCGGAAGUCGGAAGUGAAAGCUCCAGGCUCAACCUGGAGAGGCCUUUCGAUACUGCGUGACUAGAAUCCGGUAGAGGAGUGUGGAAUUCCCGGUGUAGCGGUGAAAUGCGCAGAGAUCGGGAGGAACACCAGUAGCGAAGGCGGCACUCUGGGCCGGUAUUGACGCUGAGGAGCGAAAGCUGGGGAGCAAACAGGAUUAGAUACCCUGGUAGU